GGACGAAAGUCUGAUGGAGCAACGCCGCGUGAGUGAAGAAGGGUUUCGGCUCGUAAAGCUCUNUUGGUAGUGAAGAAAGAUAGAGGUAGUUAACUGGCCUUUAUUUGACGGUAAUUACUUAGAAAGUCACGGCUAACUACGUGCC
rnacentral:rRNA from 1 species